rnacentral:rRNA from 1 species
UGGAUGAUGUGGAUAAUUCGAUGCAACGCGAAAACCUUACCUACCCUUGACAUGUCCGGAAUCCUGCAGAGAUGCGGGAGUGCCCGAAAGGGAAUCGGAACACAGGUGCUGCAUGGCUGUCGUCAGCUCGUGUCGUGAGAUGUUGGGUUAAGUCCCGCAACGAGCGCAACCCUUAUCAUUAGUUGCUACGCAAGGGCACUCUAAUGAGACUGCCGGUGACAAACCGGAGGAAGGUGGGGAUGACGUCAAGUCCUCAUGGCCCUUAUGGGUAGGGCUUCACACGUCAUACAAUGGUCGGUACAGAGGGUUGCCAAGCCGCGAGGUGGAGCCAAUCCCAGAAAGCCGAUCGUAGUCCGGAUUGUUCUCUGCAACUCGAGAGCAUGAAGUCGGAAUCGCUAGUAAUCGCGGAUCAGCAUGUCGCGGUGAAUACGUUCCCGGGUCUU